UGGGGAAUAUUGCACAAUGGGCGCAAGCCUGAUGCAGCCAUGCCGCGUGUGUGAAGAAGGCCUUCGGGUUGUAAAGCACUUUCAGCGAGGAGGAAGGUGGUGAGCUUAGUACGCUCAUCAAUUGACGUUACUCGCAGAAGAAGCACCGGCUAACUCCGUGCCAGCAGCCGCGGUAAUACGAGGGUGCAAGCGUAUCGGAAUUACUGGGCGUAAAGCGCACGCAGGCGGUUUGUUAAGUCAGAUGUGAAAUCCCCGGGCUCAACCUGGGAACUGCAUUUGAAACUGGCAAGCUAGAGUCUCGUAGAGGGGGGUAGAAUUCCAGGUGUAGCGGUGAAAUGCGUAGAGAUCUGGAGGAAUACCGGUGGCGAAGGCGGCCCCCCUGGACGAAGACUGACGCUCAGGUGCG
rnacentral:rRNA from 1 species